AUGCCAGAGCCAGCAGCAGCGGCUGCUGCUGCAAGUGAGCAUUUACUUUCUACCCAUCUCGAAGCUCUACUGAUAUGGAACUGUGCUGGCAUGUUGGGUGGGGCUCUCCGUCUGCCUGCGCCCCUCAAGAGACUGCACAUUAUUGGCAACAGUGGGUUGACAUCGCUGGAGUGUCUGCCGGGAGAGCACCCCCCAUCGCUGGAAAACCUUGUUCUUCAAAGAUGCACUGCCCUCGCAUCCCUGCCGAAUGAGCCACAACUAUACAGUUCUGUCUCGUAUCUUCAAAUUACACAUUGCCCUGCUAUAAAGAAGCUCCCUAGAUGCCUACAGCAGCAACUGGGCAACAUCAAACGCAAACGACUAGAUGCCCAGCAUGAAGUUAUGGCACUUAAACCGAAGACAUGGAAGGAGAUACCAAGGCUAGUCUGUGAGUGGAGGAAGGCCGCUCGAGAAGGCAGGGAGCGACAACAAUCCAUCAUGCAGGAGUAA
rnacentral:rRNA from 1 species